rnacentral:tRNA from 3 species
GGCCCCAUGGUCAAGUGGUUAAGACACCGCCCUUUCACGGCGGUAACGCGGGUUCGAAUCCCGCUGGGGUCACCA